rnacentral:tRNA from 1 species
GCCCGCCUAGCUCAAUCGGAUAGAGCGUCAGACUUUUACGGAGGUCCGGGUGACUUGAUCAUUGUGAUCUGAAGGCUGCGAGUUCGACCCUCGCGGUGGGCU